UACGUAGGGGGCGAGCGUUGUCCGGAUUUAUUGGGCGUAAAGAGCUCGUAGGCGGUUUGGUAAGUUGGAUGUGAAAUCUCCAGGCUCAACUUGGAGGGGUCAUUCGAUACUGCCAUGACUAGAGUUCGGUAGGGGAGUGUGGAAUUCCUGGUGGAGCGGUGAAAUGCGCAGAUACCAGGAGGAACACCCGUAGCGAAGGCGGCACUCUGGGCCGGAACUGACGCUGAGGAGCGAAAGCGUGGGGAGCGAACAGG
rnacentral:rRNA from 1 species